rnacentral:rRNA from 1 species
UACGUAGGGUGCAAGCGUUGUCCGGAAUUAUUGGGCGUAAAGAGCUCGUAGGCGGUCUGUCACGUCGGCUGUGAAAACCCGAGGCUCAACCUCGGGCCUGCAGUCGAUACGGGCAAACUAGAGUACUGCAGGGGAGACUGGAAUUCCUGGUGUAGCGGUGAAAUGCGCAGAUAUCAGGAGGAACACCGGUGGCGAAGGCGGGUCUCUGGGCAACAACUGACGCUGGAGGAGCGAAAGCCGUGGGGAGCGAACAGG